CAUUCUGGUGCACAGACACCCUCAGACUCAAGAUCCUGAGACACUGCUGCAGGCUUACACUGGCACACACUCUCAGACACAUCCUGAUGCCCAUGGUCCCCCGAUUCACACCCAUAGGGACAGAUUAUCAGAGCCUGGGUAUAAAGAGAUACACUCAAUUACAAACCUCCUCUGCCCUCCAAACCUGAAUGACCAGAGGUCCACUCUACCAGCAGAAGCAGCAAUCCUUUCUAAUUGCUCUCCCCGUCCCGUGAAGCAGCCCUCUGAAAUGGCCUCAGGAAAGGACUGCUCAGUCCCUCCUUUCCAAGGGGCCUAGCGGGAGCCCCUCCAUCUCACUAACCUAUUUCUUCAUCGGAGCGAUGACAGCAGGAACCCUCUGUUUUGGAUGGUUAAGAGCAAGAGCAUGGCGGCGGUCGGAGUUAGGUGUUGGUUCUGCAAUCAUGAGGAGACCACAGGAGAGCAGCAAGGCACCCAAGCUGAUAUCCUCGAGGGCGGAGACAGUGGCGACGUGUCUAUGAAGAGGCCAACAUAUCCUGGUGGACACUUUCGCCCACUCCAGUUUCUCCCCUCCCAGAUUGUCACCAUUCCUGUGGUCUUCUCCUGUCUGGGCCUCCAGAUCCGUCUCAUGAACACAGCCUCCAGAGUAAAAACAAUUCCAGGGACUGGAGCCCAGUCCAGCUAGUUGGCCUUGGAUAAAGACUUCAGCUCUAUCUGAUGAGGACGAUAUGAAUACUGCAGGAAAGAUAAGUGUGACCUUGUAGGUCAAAAUCAGCCCAGCAUUCGCUGUAUGGUGGUCAUGGCUAACGUUCAACUCUCUUUGCCAAGUGCCUGCAAUUUAUUUGUUUCUCAACUCCAUGAGCCCUCUGGUGGCUGAGGCCAUUUUUCCCCCCACAUUAUCCCCAUAACACUGGAAGCUUCUAG
rnacentral:lncRNA from 1 species